UUACAGGAACAGAUAAUAUCAAUUGUGUUUGUUUUUAUAAAUAUUUAGGAAUGUUUUCAUUGCUGACAUUCACGAUGGCAAGCUGGAGACAAGCAAAACAUUAACAGUCCGUUUUUCUGAGUUUGAUGCUUCUGUUCCGGGUAUUGUCAAUAAAGUAAAAGAUGCCCUGGGGCAAGAGGGCCCACUAAUCCUGACUGAUGGUCAAGGAAAGGAAAUCCUGGAUUCUGAAGGAACGAGAGGAUCAGCAUAUUGGAAACAGAAUGCGCGAAAAAUAUUCGCUGUGCCGCAAGAAGAAUUCCAGCACCUACAAGAAACUAAAAGAAGGAGAGUGAGUCGCCGAGAAGACACCGGUCUUCACGAUGUUUUGGACACUAUAGAAGAAGUUGUUCUUGUAGCCCAGGACCUUCAAGGUGUGUCCAGUAAGAUCAGAGAGCUCAUAGAGCUGACCAACUCCAACCGCAAGACACUGUCCCUGAUAGAUGCCCAAGUAGCAGCAAUUAGAGGUGCAUUUGCCUGCAUUAUUUGC